AGUAUUAAAGGUCCCGCCUGCCCAGUGAAACUUUUAACGGCCGCGGUAUUCUAACCGUGCAAAGGUAGCGUAAUCACUUGUCUUCUAAAUAAAGACCAGUAUGAACGGCUAAAUGAGGACAAGCCUGUCUCUUAUAACUAAUCAGUGAAACUGAUCUUCCAGUACAAAAGCUGGAAUAAACACAUAAGACGAGAAGACCCCGUGGAGCUUAAAACUAAGCACCAACUACACUAUGCCCUGGUGCCCUGUUUUGAGUUGGGGCGACUUCGGAAUAAAAUAAAACUUCCGAGCACAGAACCACCAGUUCGAGCUAAGGCCAACAAGCCCAGGCACAAAACUGACCCGGCCUCCGCCGAUCAACGAACCAAGUUACCCCGGGGAUAACAGCGCUAUCUUCUUCAAGAGUUCCUAUCAACAAGAAGGUUUACGACCUCGAUGUUGGAUCAGGACACCCCAAUGGUGCAGCCGCUAUUAAAGGUUCGUUUGUUCAACGAUUAA
rnacentral:rRNA from 1 species